AUUGAACGCUGGCGGCAGGCUUAACACAUGCAAGUCGAGCGGGGGAAGGUAGCUUGCUACCGGACCUAGCGGCGGACGGGUGAGUAAUGCUUAGGAAUCUGCCUAUUAGUGGGGGACAACAUUCCGAAAGGAAUGCUGAUACCGCAUACGCCCUACGGGGGAAAGCAGGGGAUCUUCGGACCUUGCGCUAAUAGAUGAGCCUAAGUCGGAUUAGCUAGUUGGUGGGGUAAAGGCCUACCAAGGCGACGAUCUGUAGCGGGUCUGAGAGGAUGAUCCGCCACACUGGGACUGAGACACGGCCCAGACUCCUACGGGAGGCAGCAGUGGGGAAUAUUGGACAAUGGGCGGAAGCCUGAUCCAGCCACGCCGCGUGUGUGAAGAAGGCCUUUUGGUUGUAAAGCACUUUAAGCGAGGAGGAGGCUACUUAGAUUAAUACUCUGGGAUAGUGGACGUUACUCGCAGAAUAAGCACCGGCUAACUCUGUGCCAGCCGCCGCGGUAA
rnacentral:rRNA from 1 species